UGCCAGCAGCCGCGGUAAUACGGAGGGGGCUAGCGUUGCUCGGAAUUACUGGGCGUAAAGGGCGCGUAGGCGGAUUUUCUAGUCAGGCGUGAAAGCCCCGGGCUCAACCCGGGAACUGCGUUUGAUACUGGAAGUCUAGAGUUCUGGAGAGGGUGGUGGAAUUCCCAGUGUAGAGGUGAAAUUCGUAGAUAUUGGGAAGAACACCGGUGGCGAAGGCGGCCACCUGGCCAGACACUGACGCUAAGGCGCGAAAGCGUGGGGAGCAAACAGGAUUAGAUA
rnacentral:rRNA from 1 species